rnacentral:lncRNA from 1 species
GGUGUACUACUUCGAUUCACUACUUCCGAAGAAGGGUGUUCGAGGUAGGUUCUGGAAACCCAUCAAAUCACUCAUUAACACUGCCUGGAAAGUGGCGACCAAGGGAAAACUAGCUGGUAAAGGCUAUAAAGACAAGCCUCACCACAACCACAGGUUCCCUUGCCAGCAACAGCCGCCAGGCAGUGUGUUUUGUGGCUAUUACUGCUGUCACAUCCUUAUGGAGAAUGCCAGCAUGUUCAAGCCUGAGUGGAAGGGGUCAGUCGCGGCGAUGGAAGAGGACUGGCGGCGACAAUGGGACACCGACCUAAAUGGCUCGUCUAUAACAUUCAAAGGGAGUUCGCCCAUCUCAUCAACAAUGAGGUCAUCAAUUCUAGUGGGGACUUCUACGAACGCGUGCAACAAGUGGUGUCUAGGGUUCACCCACAACAUUAGGAUCUAGCUUAAAAUGAGAUACAUUUGUAUUCUUUAUAUGCUUCUAUGAAACUCUGACACUUUGUAAUUAUGUUUAUAUGAAAUUUUGACACUUUGUAAUCAAUGUCGUGAAGUGAGAUACAUUUGUAUUCUUUAUAUGCUUCAUAUGAUGCGGCUUAUAUACAUUUGUAUGCUUCAUAUGAUGCGGCUUUAUAUGUAUUUCUGUGAUGAGAUACAUUUUUCUGUGAUAAGAUACAUUAUGUGCUGUGCUGUAUAUAAUUUUCUAUGUAUUUCCUGUGUAUUUACUGUGGUUUUAAUUAUUUUUUUAAAUAUCGAAAAUGUAUCAGUGUCGGUCCCUCAACCGACACUGAUGUGGCAACGCGACCGUUACUGAUGAUAUAUACAUCAGUAACGGUUGCUCCGACCGUUACUAUAUCAUCAGUAACACGAAGUUAGUAACGGCGGCCCUGGCCGUUACUGAUGUUGUUUUUCAAUCGUUACUGAUAAGCCUUUCUGUAGUAAUGAUGCCAUGGCCAUCAUGGAUAACAACACCCGCCGUCCCCCUCAGGGCAUCCACAUCAAAAGAAGCAGGUGGAUGGGAGGGAGUAAUUACUCCCAGUAGUACAUAAAAGGCUUCCAUCAUAAAAAAAUAGAUAGAAUGCACUUAAUAUUUAUUUAUUGUUUUCCUGUUGAAAUAUGUUAUGGAUAUAUAUGUGAUGUACAUGUCAUCACUUCAACGAGGCUAUAGAUAGACCCAACCAGACCAUACAACUAUUGCACUAUAGCAAUCUACAUCCAGAAUCGAAGAAAAGUGGAGACAUAACACACAUAGUAGACAGAAAAGCCGUAGCCAUGGCAAAACUCAUGUGUCUGCUCUUGGUUGUUCUUGCUAUUGCAGUAACAACGAGGGCUGAGAGCUGCGAUAAAUAUCGUGAAGACAUAAUGCGGGAGUGUCUCAAGUACGAGAAAUUCCCAGAGGAGCCAAAAUUGGAUCCGUCCGAGGCAUGUUGCGCCGUGUGGCAGAAAGCAGACAUCCCAUGCCUGUGCAAGUUAAUUACCAAGAAGAUCGAGAGUGUAUGUUCUAUGGAAAAGGUGGCUUACAUCGUCAAGUUCUGCAAUAAGCCUUUCGCACCCGGCUACAAGUGUGGAAGUAAGUGAGAAUUAUUAUAUUUAUACAUGUGUACUUUAAUGAUACAUUUCACAUGCACGUUCUUUCUCUUCAAAAAAAGUGCAGGGCACUUAUUAUUUGUUUUAAAUGGUCAUGCAGGCUACACCUUUCCUCCGCUGAAAUAAAAGACUCAUGUUGAUGCCCUUUGUAAGCGUCGGGUUUUAGUUUCCUGUUGCCCUCGCUGCAGCUACCUCUUGAGCUCUGUAAUCUGUGAGCUUGAGCUCAGAUUUAUUUAUGUUGAUCGCUAUGUAUGACAAUCAGAAAUUAAUAAGUAUCUUCCAAAACUGAAUUUUCCAGUACAGUGUGAUCUUUUCUCAAAACCUUCUCGAUUUUCACUGUUUCCAGUAUUUGGCUAGUACUUCCUUUGUUGUAUAGUAUGAAGUGUCACAACUUUGUCUAUAUAUACUAGCUAAAAUAUGUGAAUCAAUCUAGUCAAUUGUAAAGAACGUGAUACGUAUAUCUACCAUAUUAAAUAUGUAUGAUUACAUUCGUUUUCUAGCUAUAUAGUUAAUAGCCUCAAAUUAAGUGAAUUGACGACCAUCAACCCAGGUCUUUAUAAGAAGUAAAAAUACACAUGUAUGUAGACACGUUUUAGUGUAUGAAUACAUGCGGAUCUAGACAAAGUUGUUGCAUUUAAUAUAGAACAGAGGAAGUAGUUUAUUUUUUUGGGUCUUCAUGGAAUGUUCCGGAAAGUUCCAGGGAAUUAUCCCAAUAAAAGUUGCAUAUAAACUUUAGUAUUUUAGAGUGUGGGUAUUUGUUUCAAUUUUAAACUUAAACCCAAGUUAAGCCACGCAUGCACGCACGUGUUGAUUUUGACCAUGAUCAUCCAUCUUGAUGAUCCGUACGUAAAAACAAGGGUUAAUUGGAUCUAUGCUACUCUUUAUUUCACCGGUUGGAGAUAUGCCAUUACAAAAACUUGACUUUGAGAAAUGCCACUCUAACUUUCUUAUAACUCUAUCAAUGCCAUUAUGUCCACUUAAGACCAAUAAAUGUUAAUAAAAUACAUGUGUUUCAGUGUGUACAACAAUAUUUACCAUAAUACUGCUAUUUACAAUGUUCAGCAGUAUGUUCGAGUCUUACAGGCACCAUAGAGGUUAAAAAAAAUUCAAAUUUGAUCCUAAAUUCAAUAUUCUCAGAAAAAUUUAUAAAAAUUACAGAAAAUAAAAAACAAUAAUAUGAGUCUACCGUUGGGGACGGGGUACGAGGAACGCAUGGGAAAUAAUAGGAAUAAAACUGUUUGACUUGGAAUGGGAAAAAAAAUUGUUCGUAUAGAACUAUGUCUAUACGUACUAGACAGUAUACGUGCUGGUAUUGAAGAAAAUGGCAUGAAUAGAGGUAUAAAAAAGUUAGAGUGGCAUUUUUCCAAGUCAAGUUUUUGUAAUGGCAUAUUUUUCAACCGGUGAAAAUUAUAAUGGCACAGAUCCAAUUAACCCUAAGAAAACAAAUAUAUAUUCUGUAUCAAUUUCGUUGCACCUGACAAGUAAGUAAACGAUCGACUGCACCGUGCCAGAUUCUACCCGCACGUAGGCCACCUACGAGCCACACGAUGCCAAAGAUGAAUCAUGAAUGAACUAGCAACGGUAUAGGCGUAGCCGCGUAUAGCUACACAUGAUUAAGAAAAGUGUGGCUAGCUCCGGCUAGCUGAUUGGUUGAUUAAUUGUUUUGUUCAUCACAGCCGGUGCAUCACAGCGAUUGCCUCUCAGGUUCAAUUGACAUUUUGCAUCUUUACAAACUACUAGCAAUAGCAACAAAUUAUGUGUUGUUUAAAAAUUCGCGUUAACUUUGGUUAAUUUAGUUAUAAUCGAGACCGAACCGAAAUUAAAUGGUUAUAAUGAGAACCGAACCUUGUUUUUGUCUGAAAUGCUAAAACCAAAUAAACCGAAAAAUGGUAUAACCAAACCGAACCGAAAGCCAAAGGCACACCCUGACUCUCAACCAAUAAUUUACUAGAAUAAAACGAAUUUGAUGAUCUUAGGGUGCUUUAAUUAUUUCUGAAACCGGAACCAAAAUUUGAAUCUAUUGUAGUUAUAUCACACUUUUGGUCCAAGAUCUGCAUCUCAUAACUACGGAGUACAAAAUGCUUAAAACGGGUAAGUGCAGAGAAAAGGCUAAAUGUGUUCAUCUUAAUAAAGCUCCUAAGUUCAGUGGCAAGGAUGUAAUCCAAUAAUGAGAUUUCUGCGGAUAGUAAUGCUAAAUUUCGCAAAUAAAAGGUAGAGUAAUAGCAGAACUAAUUGAUCCCGAGUUCCCUGAGUUCAUCUCCGUGCCGAUCACUUGCUGGUAGGAUCCAUAACGUGUCCAGCGAAGACGAUCACCCCUGAAAGCUCCUCCAAGAUGAGGAACGUGAACGGAUGGUCAGCCACGAACUCGACCAUGUCCGGCGGCGUACCGCCACCAGUAAUGGAACCAUAAACCGCCGCCGCCUCUGUCCCUUGCUCGUUCACCUUGACGACUGCCUUGUGCGCAACCUUGCUUAGGAACGUCGGUUGCCCGUCGUUCUUGGCGAACAUACCUCGCAGGUCGGCCACCUCCGGCGAGAAAAGCAGCGAGAGCCCCAGCCGUUGGAGGUCGCCGCGGAAGUCGUCCCAGCUGAAGGAUAUCUCGAACUUGGGUAGCUCGACGUGGACGAACUUGGUUUCCGAGGGCAAAACGCUGUACAGGUAACCCGGCGAGGUGGUGAUCACGUCCACCAUGGUGGCCACGCCGUCGCGCUUGUCCGGGAGGAAGACAAACAUGGAGAACUGCGUCGCCGACAACGCGUCGCCAUCGGAUGACAACUUCUUCGCUGCGUUGGAGGGUCGUCCACGGGGGCGCUUGACGGGAGGCUGUGGUACUGCCGCUGCCUUUGCGUGCCCUUUCUUGUAGGGGAGCUUGAGGACCUUGAACCCGUCCAUGCACGAGACGUACAUGGAGGCGUACUUCGACAUGAAGUUUGCCUGGACGUGGCUGCCGUCCAGUCGGUGGAACUUGCCAGGCAUCGUGCAGUUCGAGUUGAACGGAUCGACCCACUUGCCCUUUGAAGUAGACCGCGUUGGCGAGCACCAGGUCGGUGUCGGCGGUGAUGUCGUCGCGGGAGAAGAUGGACUCGAUGAGCUCGUUGGUGGCCUUCUUAUCCCAGCUGUUGAUCAUCUCCAGUGCUUCCUUGGGCUUCACAUGUAACCAUCGUGUAAAAAUAAAUUAUCAGGACGCGUUCAAUCGUAUUAAUAUAAUUAUUAUGCAUUAUCAUGAGUGGAACAGAGGACACGACAAAAUGAUUUUUAAGUUGCGUAACAUCUUAACAACUUCAAAAAUUUGUGAUCGAUAUAUCAACAGGGAGACGGAUCCCUGACUUAAAGUCCCAUAUCAACAGUACCGGAUUGAGUAAAAUCUGUCAACAUCUGUACGGUGGUACGUAUUUUAAUGAUUAUCGCCAGAUCCAACUUGUGCGCUCUUUCAAAUCAACUAUUCGUAUUUGGAGUUAAUAAAGACAUCAAAAUUCGAGAUCUAGUUAAGAUUCCAUUUGUAGAGAGCGCACGCACACAAGAUAAUUAGUCUACGAACCUUGUUGGUGAAACUGACGGUGCGUGCCUCAGACUUGUAGGACUCGGCUGCGCAUCCUGCAACGCCUUGUUGAGCCCGCCGCGCGCGGCGUCGAUUCACACGCCGCCGCCGAAGAGCACGCGCGGCCCGCCGGAAGAAUCGGCCCGGUCGGCGAGGACGAGCUCGGAGACGCGGCGCCAGAAGGCCGCGAGCGCGUCCUCGGUAGGCGCGCCGAGGAAGGUGAGCAGCUGGGCCUGCGUGGCGCCGCCCGCGCCCGCGGCCGCCAGGGCCAGGCCGGCGUGGAUGGAGACGGGCGAGAACGCGAUGUUCUUGCCGGCGGCGGCGGCGGCAGAGGCGUCCUUGGUGAGGCGGAGCGCCAUGGCCGCCUGCCCGUCGCGAACGGCGUCGUGUUGGGCGGCGGCCAUGGGAGGGAGGUCGCGGACUCGCGGUGGUGGGGUUCGUGCCCGUGGGUGGGAGUGGGAUGGCGCAAGCACGAGGGGUUCCGCCGUAGUAGUACUCCACUGUUCUUGGCUCCUUUUUUGACGGGAACUUCCCUGUUUAUUUCCAUUUCGUUCCAGCGAUUUUCUAUCUGUUGUGACUUGUGAUGCGUUCUGGCUUUUGUUCCUGGCUGCCCUUUUUCUUUUUGGAUAUUGGGCCUAUUUAGUUUUGGCCCAUUUUUAUUUUUGGACAUGUGAUUUUCUUCUGUUGAAUAUUUUCUACCUGUAGUGACUUGUGAAGCGUUCCGGCUUUUGUUCCUGGCUGCCCUUUUUCUUUUUGGAUAUUGGGCCUAUUUAGUUUUAGCCCAUUUUAGGAAAAAUUUUGGACAUGUGAUUUUGUUCCGUUGAAUAUUUUUUGGCCUUUUGUGUUGAUUCAAUAAAAGAGGGUGGUAAGUGAAGACGAGAAUCUUUACAGUAUGGCACGUGUUAAUUUGUGUGUUCAGGGAGACGAGAAGCAUUUCUACAUGGGCUUUUUGUUUCGCUUUUUCCAAGUGUAAGUUUCCCUAGAAAUAAUAGUUAGGUACUCCGUAUGAGUUUAUUUCAGUUUUUGAAUGCAGUUCCACAAGCCUUCUAGCGUGUGUAAUCUUUUACCCCUAGAGUCUUGUUUGGUGCUAGUGUAUUGUUUAGUCACCAGUGUUUUGGCUUUUCAGGAGUUUUGGUGGUACCUGAUUGCCACUUUGCUCGACCCCGACGGGGAAAGCAAGGAGCCCUCGCAAAACGAGGUUGAUGUUGAGUGUGUGCGACUUGGAGAACGCCUUGCGGCGGAAGCCCCCAAUAAGGAUGAUACCAAGGAGCUUCAUGGGCGAUCGCGGCGAGCGCCAGUAGAGGUAAUCCCGGGUUGAAUGGGUCGUAGGCCGGGACUCCUUGGUUUUCCGGCGCGGAUCCUCCCGACGCCACAUUGUUUCCUCUUGUAGGUUCCGAGGGCAGGGUCACUACCGGUUGUAGAGAAGGUGGCGCGAAGCCCAUCGAGCGAGGCAUGCCGAGUUCCGUAUCCCCUGCGGGGGCGGCAACCGUAGGCAGCUCGCCGAUCCUUGCCACUACGUUGGUGAGUGUCGAGGGACCGCCUGCGACGAUUUCGAGCACCUCGGUUCCUUUUGGGACGGCCGGCAGCGAAGGGGUGACGGCAACUUCCGUCGUAGCGACCAUGCUUGCGGCGACGUCCGGAUUGGUGAGGGUUCCUUCUUCCACGGGAGCCCCCGAGGCACUUGCUUUCUUCGUUUGCAACCAUGUAGACUUCGCGGCAAGUUGGAAACCCGAUGAAGUAGGCUUCGUCGGGGCCAUUAAAUCUUCAAUUGCGACGAGGGUUCCCCACGGUCGGCGCCACUAUUGUUGUUCUCGACAACAAUUAGAGUAAGGGGUGCCAAUGCACGAUGGCACGAGUGUGAGUAUAAAAGUAGGACGUGUACGCCCGCCUUAUAGCGAAGGUCGCCGUACACUUGGACAAGUUGACACGUUGAUAUUUUUUUAAUAGGUUCGGUUGACCCUGCGGGUGCGACCUAGUCCUAUGUUAGGAGAGGUUUCGAGGGAAUCGUUAGCCAAAGCGUUUCGGGUCGAUCGAAGCUCCCCGAAUCACUUAGCAAGAGCUCAAAAGGGGCCGCCUCGUACUUGGGCCGAGCGAGGCUUCCCAAGUAGCGAGGUCGAGAUACCCUUAGGACUCUAACCCGAUUCCCUCUCCUUCGGGCUCGGGCCGAACGAGCCUUCCCGAGAUCCCAAAACUAGAGCUCCUCUCAGAGAGGCUCUCUAGCCCUCUCCCCUUGAGUUUAUUCAAGUGAGAAUGAAUGGUGCAUGACCCCAUGGGGGGUAUUUAUAGCGUAGGGGUCCAUGACAAAAGACCAUGGCUACCCUUGGGGGAGAGAGAAAAGUGAGGGCAAAAUGGUAAAAGUAGCUUUUUGGUUCAUAGCUUUUGUGUGUACCAAGUGGGAGAAGUGGGGCUUGGUCCAUGGUCCACCAUCGACUAAGAGGCCCCCUCCUUGCACCUUUCUUGCCCCCUACUCAAGCUCAAUUUUCCCUUUGACCAUGAUAUGAGAGGAUUGACUUGUUGACUUAUCUUCCCUUGCCACGUAGGAAUGACCACGCCACGUUGGCGCCUUGACUUGUGCUGAGAAAAGUUGAACUAGUCGUCGCCACGUUGGAUUUACGGCCCGGCCCAAAUAAGGAUUUUAUUUUACUACAACAGUAGCCCCCUUGAGCUGGAGGCAUUGUGAAUGACUUCGGGUCAACCAUCGUGAGAGACUCCUGAGAUCUUCCCUUCGUGAGAGGAAAACGUACUUUGGUGGCUUUCGUGCAAAAAAGGAGCCUUGGAGGUGUUUUCGGGGAAAUUCCAUGCCUUCGGCGAUCUUCUUUGGGAGAAAUCGGAUUUCGGGGGGUAUUUUAGCAAAAACCGGGACCCUAGGGGUCUCUCUGCGAGAAAAUCGGUGUCCCGAAGGACUAUUUUGCAAAAAUCAGGGAUCCCGAAGGUCUCCCCAAAAUUUCCGAGGACAUACUGGCAAUUUUCCCAAGAUACUGGCCUUUAUGAAAUUUUUUUGAACCCAGCCGGCCCGUGGACCAACUGGGCCGGCUGCGCACGCACGGGCACGAAAUGGGCCAGCACCCGGGCCGGCGUCCCUGGGUGAGCAGACCUCCUCUUCCCCCCCUUUUUUUUACCUGGGCUGAUUUUAGGCCGCUUUCGGGCCGCGACCCAGCCGGGCCCGGUACCAGUUCAUUGGGCAUUAUGGAGAUCCGACGGCUGGGAGGGAUCCUCAGCCCUAGAUCGGAUGGCUGGGAGGUCUUCUUCCUCCUUGGUACGGGAGGGAGGGACCGUUGCCUCCUUUCGCCUUUAGCAGGCGUCCGUUCGUCACGGGAGGGGACGCUGGCGAGGCCGGGACGCCGGGCCCGCGGGGGAGGCGCCCUCCUUUGGCGAGGCCUCCCUUUUGUGGAAAGGGGAUGCUCCCCUUGCCCGUUCUUCCCCCUCCUUGUCUUGUUGCACUGUGACCAAGGACGGCGAGGUGUCGACCUCGGAUUGGCCGGCGCGGACGCCAAGGACGCCCUUGGGGCCUAUAAAAUGGAACAAGGGGUUCAUGGGGGAGCUCCACACCGGCCUUGUCUGAUUUGUCCGGUGCCGAAGCCUCGUUCGGCGGCGUCCGAGACUUCUCCAGGGCUUGGUGUUCUAGGGGCUUAGCCACCUCUUUGUUGUCACGGCGAUCGUCUUGGCCGCCAGAGAGCCGUUGCGGAGGGUCGUCGUCGUUGAAGCUUCGUGGGGACGAGGUGUGCGCGCGAGGCCGCUCGGAGCAAGGUGUAGGCGUUGCCUUCAAGUCUUCCCUGGAGACCCUCGACGUCGGCCGCUUCCUUCUUGUCCGUGUGAAGGUCAGGCGGGAGCAACCAUGUCCGAAUUUUGGCCUCCCUGGGCACCGCGUGCCCUUUAGGCACUCCAUCGAGCAUCUUCGGUGCAUGCAGGUGGUGUCAUGGAGCGACGGGAUCCGGGGGCGCUCAGCAUCGCACGCGUAGCUAGCGGGCGCGAAGCAUGCGGCUUGGAUGCACGCAGGUCCCGCGGCGGUGUGAGCGCGGAGCGAGCUGACGAGGCGAGGGUGCAGGCGCGGCGCGGCGCGCGGAGCGUGGGUGCGGACGAGCACAUGGCGAGUCGCAGGGCGCGGUGUGGGCACGAGCAGGCGCGCGGCGCGACGCGGGCACGCGGCGUGGCACAGGCGUACCGCGGCGCGGGCACACACAGGCGUGCGGCGGGGCAUGGGCGCGCUCGGGGCGGUACGGUCGCGGAGGCCGCGCGGGCUCGCACAGGCGCGCGGCGCGACGGGGGCUCGCGGCGGGGCGGCAAUGUGCCGAACACGCGGGGGACGCCGGCGGCAGUUCGCCCACCCCUCGUUCCCCCUUUUUUUUUGCUUGCAAGCUGGCAAGCCGAGGGUCCCUCGGCCCGGGAGGCUUGGCCUCUCCUCUUCUUUCUUGUUUUUUGUGGGCCGGCAGGAUUCUCUUGGUUGGGAGGCUUGGCCUCUUUCUCAUCCGCGCGGGCUGAGCGGCCCAAGGAGCUUGGCUCCCUUUUCUUUUUUGUUUGCUAGUCUCUUUGAGACUUUCCCACAUUCCCACUAACCGUUGUCGAAUUCUUGUCCGUGUAGGCGAGAGGGCGGGACCCGAAGGCGAGCUCACGACCAAGAGGGGGCCUUCCAAGGGGUCCGCGGCGGAGCGAGCGGCGAGCCGGCCGUCGAGGAAGAAGAAGGUCACCUUUCGUCCGCGUGGGGAUCCUCCGAUGGUCCUAACGGCUCCGGUGGAGGGCGGUUGGGCUCACGACUUCCUUCUCCCAUCUUCGGCGAGUCCCGAGGACCUUGUUCAGCUGGAGGAGGCGGGAUACUUCCCCAAGGGGGAUGGUAUCUUGCCCGAUGGGGAGAAGUUCAAGUUCGACCACAAGCGGCGUCUAGGGUGCAUCAUGGUGUUUUCGGCUUGGUUCCAUGCCGGUUGUGUGUGCCUGUCCACCCCUUCCUGCUGGAGUUCUUGGAGACGUAUGGCAUCGAGUUGGCCCAGCUCCACCCUUCGACGGCCGUGAAGCUGAACGUGUUCCGCUGGCUGUGCGAGACGGCGCUUCACGAGGGGCCUUUGAUGAAGUUGAUGUUGUUCUACUUCACCGUGGAUGUGAGGGAGUCGCUCACUCCUGACGGCUUUACCCUGAGCGCCUUUGGUUCGGUGAACCCGAGGCUUCGUUCCGGCUUUGGAGGCGACUUUCUGCUCAUGUCGUGGAGGAGCACGGUGAAGUUGUUUGACCAGUGGGAGUCCCAGUGGUUUUUCCUUCGGGCUUCGAAGACGCGUCUUGGACACUCAGGUGAUCUUCCUCGACACUUGGGGGAUGGAGGCCUCAAGGAGGUGCCUCACCCAGGCGAGCUUCGGUCGACCGACCUUUGGAAGGUGACCAAGAUCAAGGAGGUGUCCGCUGAGAGGAGCUUCCGUGACCUCAUGGAGGAGAUGGUGAUGGCGGGGCGCUUCAUGAUGAGGAGCCGUCCGAGGUCCGAGCUUGGUAUUCCUCGGGCUUUCCGUCCUCCGCAUGCCGUCACCACACGUGAGUGCCGCUCCCCUUUUUCCUUUCGUGCCUUGGUUGUUUUUCCCUUGCGAUGGUACUUAACAACUUUGACUUGUCUUUUUUCAGCGACGUUUUCCGAGGAGAGUGCGGCGCUGUGGGCCGUGCAGCUGAUAGGUCCGUACGGCGGGCCGGAGCACCGUGGCUACGAGACCAAGAUCAACGGCGGGGGAUGUCAUAACAUCAUCGCGAAGUGCUUCGGGAAGAUGGUUCCAAUGUGACAGGAUCCAAAGUUCGGGCACCUCCUUCGAGUGAGUGAUCGCUACUCCCGCUUGGCGACACUGUCGAUGCUGGCGGUAGGGUCCAAGUUGCGGGACACUUGCGGGAAGGUGAAGACGGGGACGGCGGUGUUGGGCCUAGCUAUGCAUGUUGCGCCGGUCUCCAAGAUACCUCGUCCAUCGAGUGGAUGCAAGAGGAAGGCUCCCCCAACUCCUUCUCCUUCUUACGACUACGCCCCGGCGGAUUCAGCGGAUCCCGUCGUGGGUGAGUCGAGGUCCCCUUUGAGGGUGACCUUGGACCUGCACAUGAAAGGGAAGAUUGGACUUGAGCACGUUCGUCCUCCUUCGAGCCACGAGGUUAAGGCUUUCACUCGCGAGACAGGGCUUCGGCUCUGGAGCGACUCGGUGGUGAAGUUGUCGACCGGAGCCAGCGGUGCGGGCAUCCCAGUGUUCUCCAUCGGUCGCGAGCGUCCCGAGGAGGAUGCUCCUACCUCGGGUGAGUGCCUUUCUCUUCGGCUGUGUCACUCUUCUUUGAAGAUUCUGACAUGGUUUCCUUGGUUUGUUUUCAGGUGCGAGGGUCGCGGCUCCCAAGGUUCCCGAGGCGAGCCCCCGACUCAAGCGAGGGACGGAGAGCUUCCGACAACCGAGGACGGGGUGAGUGUCGCACCAGUGGCACCCAGGGCACCACCGCUGCAUGACGUGUGGCCUGCCUCGCUUGGUUCCCGGAAGGAUCACACCCCGGGCAGCUCCGUGCAAGCUGCCCCGCAAGCCACCAGCCCGGCAGGCUAGCCGGGCUACAGGAGUUGCCUAGAAGGGCAGCAGGAGAAAUCCCGCCUGUGCGCUUCCUGGGAAGUUUACUUGCCGGGGAGGGUGUUCCCGGGUGCAAGAGUCCGAUGCCAGAGCGGGAGCAGGCAGGAGCAACAGCGGCGCCACAUGGCCGCACGGCAGGCGCGCUGCGCACAGGGUUCGCCAGGACGAGGAGUGAAACACACGCCAGCAUUAAAUGCUCCGACCAAAAGGGGAUUCCCCGUCAUUUCAGCCUAUAGUGAUUGGCCUGGGGCAAAUCUUAGGCGCCUAGGCCCCUAGUUGCAGGGCUACUUAGUCUGCAUGCAAGCCAGCGCACCGAGAAGGAGCUACCCUAGCUCUUUGCUCGCCAUUUGUCACCCAUGCGCCGUGGCCCUUCAGUAUAAAAGGAGGACCCCCGCCAACGGUCAAAGGGUUCGGUUGAGUUCGUUCGGAUUCAUACUAGCACUAGCCGAGAAUAGCAAGUAGCACUUAGCUAAAAAGAGAGAGCAUCCGGGGACUCCCCCUCGGCAACUUGUAAACCCUUAUUCAGCGGACAAUAGCAAACACAGAAGUAGGACGUAGGGUUUUACAUCUCAGGGUGGCCCGAACCUAGGUAAAAACGUUGUUGUGUUCAUUGUGUUCUCACGCUUUGCAUUGGCCUCGCCGGCGACCGCCGGAGCGAUCCCCACCACCCACUGCCAAACCUCAAAGGGGGUGCCCGCGUAUCCCCGGUGUCUGAGCCCCGUGCUACGACAUCUGGCACGCCAGGUAGGGGGCGCACGAGGAGAGCUCGCCGGUGACCGCCGGCGCCGUCGUCUACGGCAGCGUCGACCUUGUCUACUCUAACAGCAGAGCCAGUCGCCAUGCCCCCCAAGCGGGCUGGUGACUCUCGGAUCGACCCGCGUGAAGCCCCAGUGGCACACACGCAAUCGCACGACACGCAACCCGCGUCACGGGCUCAAGAGAAUCCUGAGCCCUCUCGGGCGCCGCAAUUGCAGCUGCCACCCCCGCCUCCUCGGCCGUCGGCGGACAACCGGCUGAGGGGGUUAGCGGCUCCCAGUGGCAGAGCCAGUCACGCGAGCGGUCAAGAUGCCGCCCGCACCGGCAAGCGAGUCAAAUCGCGGGCUGGAGACGCGCAGCUGCAGCUGCACCAUGAGCAUACCGCGUCGCUAGCGACGCCGACGGGAUCGCACCCUACUCACCCUGGUGCGCCGGGGUAUAGGGCGGAGGGCAGCCGGUCGGAGAAUCGAUUGCCCCCAGCCCAAACCCCGGCGGAAGCCAUCAUUGCCGCGCGAGUCAUGGUGCGGUACGAGCCGCAGCAAGGCACACCGGCACAUGAAGCUUGGAGCGCGGAGUUGGACGCCCUCCUCGCACUCGCCGCCCAGCAGCCGCAAGGCGAGGGCGCCCCGGCAGGCUCAGGCCGCGGGCAGAACCUGGGGCACGGAGACGGGCCCGGUAGAAAAAAACCCACAACCCCUUGGGGUUAUCCUGCGCUUGGAAGAAGAACUAGGAAAAGGAAAAAAUAUAGCGAUAGUUUUAUUCUUCGUCGCCGUAAGUAAAUACGUAACUAGGAAUAUGGAAAAUUGCAUUUUUUGCAUUUGCAAUAAUGCGAUGGGCGAACGACGGGAAUUGAACCCGCGCAUGGUGGAUUCACAAUCCACUGCCUUGAUCCACUUGGCUACAUCCGCCCCUUAUCCAGCUACAGGAUUUUUCUCUUUUUUCCAUUCAUCAUUAUUCUAUUUAUUCUGACCUCCAUACUUCGAUCGAGAUAUUGGACAUAGAUUGCCGCUCUUUAAAAAGGAAAAAAAAGGAGUAAUCAGCUGUGACACGAAAAAAAACGAAUCCUUUUGUAGCUCAUCAUUUAUUGGCAAAAAUAGAAAAGGUCAAUAUGAAGGAGGAGAAAGAAACAAUAGUAACGUGGUCCCGGGCAUCUAGCAUUCUACCCACAAUGGUUGGCCAUACAAUCGCGAUUCAUAAUU